GAUGAACGCUGGCGGCGUGCCUAAUACAUGCAAGUCGAGCGAGAAUUUUUCAAAUGACACUUCGGUUGAUUUUGGAAAAGGACAGCGGCGGACGGGUGAGUAACGCGUAGGCAACCUGCCCCUGACAGAGGGAUAGCCAUUGGAAACGAUGAUUAAAACCUCAUAACGCCGAAGGAACACAUGUUUCAUCGGCCAAAGAUUUAUCGGUCAGGGAUGGGCCUGCGUCUGAUUAACUAGUUGGUGAGGUAACGGCUCACCAAGGUGACGAUCAGUAGCCGACCUGAGAGGGGGAUCGGCCACAUUGGGACUGAGACACGGUCCACACGUCUACGGAAGGCAGGAGUAGGGAAUCUUGCACAAUGGGCGAAAGCCUGAUGCAGCAACGCCGCGUGAAGGAUGAAGGCCUUCGGGUUGUAAACUUCUGUUCUUAGGGAAGAAGAAAGUGACGGUACCUAAGGAGAAAGCCCCGGCUAACUACGUGCCAGCCGCCGCGGUAA
rnacentral:rRNA from 1 species